rnacentral:rRNA from 1 species
AUUGAACGCUAGCGGGAUGCCUUACACAUGCAAGUCGAACGGCAGCGCGGACUUCGGUCUGGCGGCGAGUGGCGAACGGGUGAGUAAUGUAUCGGAACGUGCCCAGUAGCGGGGGACAACCACUCGAAAGAGUGGCUAAUACCGCAUACGCCCUACGGGGAAAGGGGGGAGUCGCAAGACCUCUCACUAUUGGAGCGGCCGAUAUCGGAUUAGCUAGUUGGUGGGGUAAAGGCCUACCAAGGCGACGAUCCGUAGCUGGUUUGAGAGGACGACCAGCCACACUGGACUGAGACACGGCCCAGACUCCUACGGGAGGCAGCAGUGGGAAUUUUGGACAAUGGGGGAAACCCUGAUCCAGCCAUUCCGCGUGUGCGAUGAAGG